UACAGAGACUGCAAGCGUUAUUCGGAUUCACUGGGCGUAAAGGGGGCGCAGGCGGCCAGUGGGGGGAGGGGGGAAAGCCUGGAGCUUAACUCCAGAAUUGCACCUCAAACUACAUGGCUAGAGCAUUGGAGAGGGUAGCAGAAUUCAUGGUGUAGCAGUGAAAUGCGUAGAUAUCAUGAGGAAUACCAGAGGCGGAGGCGGCUACCUGGACAAUUGCUGACGCUCAGGCACGAAAGCGUGGGGAGCAAAAGGG
rnacentral:rRNA from 1 species